GGACCAGGUGGAGGCCUGACUUCUUGA
rnacentral:piRNA from 1 species